ACGCUGGCGGCGUGCCUAAUACAUGCAAGUAGAACGCUGAAGCUUGGUGCUUGCACCGAGCGGAAGAGUUGCGAACGGGUGAGUAACGCGUAGGUAACCUGCCUCUUAGCGGGGGAUAACUAUUGGAAACGAUAGCUAAUACCGCAUAAAAGUCGGCAUUGCAUGAUGUUGACUUGAAAGGUGCAACUGCAUCACUAAGAGAUGGACCUGCGUUGUAUUAGCUAGUUGGUGAGGUAACGGCUCACCAAGGCGACGAUACAUAGCCGACCUGAGAGGGUGAUCGGCCACACUGGGACUGAGACACGGCCCAGACUCCAACGGGAGGCAGCAGUAGGGAAUCUUCGGCAAUGGACGGAAGUCUGACCGAGCAACGCCGCGUGAGUGAAGAAGGUUUUCGGAUCGUAAAGCUCUGUUGUAAGAGAAGAACGAGUGUGAGAGUGGAAAGUUCACACUGUGACGGUAACUUACCAGAAAGGGACGGCUAACUACGUGCCAGCAGCCGCGGUAAUACGUAGGUCCCGAGCGUUAUCCGGAUUUAUUGGGCGUAAAGCGAGCGCAGGCGGUUAGAUAAGUCUGAAGUUAAAGGCUGUGGCUUAACCAUAGUACGCUUUGGAAACUGUUUAACUUGAGUGCAGAAGGGGAGAGUGGAAUUCCAUGUGUAGCGGUGAAAUGCGUAGAUAUAUGGAGGAACACCGGUGGCGAAAGCGGCUCUCUGGUCUGUAACUGACGCUGAGGCUCGAAAGCGUGGGGAGCAAACAGGAUUAGAUACCCUGGUAGUCCACGCCGUAAACGAUGAGUGCUAGGUGUUGGGUCCUUUCCGGGACUCAGUGCCGCAGCUAACGCAUUAAGCACUCCGCCUGGGGAGUACGACCGCAAGGUUGAAACUCAAAGGAAUUGACGGGGGCCCGCACAAGCGGUGGA
rnacentral:rRNA from 1 species